AAUCUUGAGUUGGUCCCCUAGUGGGGCUGACACAUUAGCACAAGGCCGCAAGGUCUUGAUGUUUACGCUUGUAUGUUUGACAGAGUUAAAUUGUGACCUUAAAAAUGACAACUUUUAACAACGGAUCUCUUGGCUCU
rnacentral:misc_RNA from 1 species